rnacentral:sRNA from 1 species
UUGACUUAGAAAUGAGAAUUGUUAUUAUUAUCGCAACUGGUCGCGAGAUCAGUCGAUAUUCUGAGAGACCUUCAGUCGGACUUUUCAGAUUAUCUCCUCAUCAGGCUAAUCACGGUUUUUGACCCGGCUCUUGCCGGGUCUUUUUUUG